GAUGAACGCUGGCGGCGUGCCUAAUACAUGCAAGUCGAGCGAACGGACGAGAAGCUUGCUUCUCUGAUGUUAGCGGCGGACGGGUGAGUAACACGUGGAUAACCUACCUAUAAGACUGGGAUAACUUCGGGAAACCGUAGCUAAUACCGGAUAAUAUUUUGAACCGCAUGGUUCAAAAGUGAAAGACGGUCUUGCUGUCACUUAUAGAUGAAUCCGCGCUGCAUUAGCUAGUUGGUAAGGUAACGGCUUACCAAGGCAACGAUGCAUAGCCGACCUGAGAGGGUGAUCGGCCACACUGGAACUGAGACACGGUCCAGACUCCUACGGGAGGCAGCAGUAGGGAAUCUUCCGCAAUGGGCGAAAGCCUGACGGAGCAACGCCGCGUGAGUGAUGAAGGUCUUCGGAUCGUAAAACUCUGUUAUUAGGGAAGAACAUAUGUGUAAGUAACUGUGCACAUCUUGACGGUACCUAAUCAGAAAGCCACGGCUAACUACGUG
rnacentral:rRNA from 1 species